UCCUACGGGAGGCAGCAGUGGGGAAUAUUGCACAAUGGGGGGAACCCUGAUGCAGCGACGCCGCGUGGGUGAAGGAGCACCUCGGUGCGUAAAGCCCUAUCGGCAGGGAAGAAAAGCGAACAGGUUCGCCUGGACGGUACCUGACUAAGAAGCCCCGGCUAACUACGUGCCAGCAGCCGCGGGAAUACGUAGGGGGCAAGCGUUAUCCGGAUUCACUGGGUGUAAAGGGAGCGUAGACGGGGCAGCAAGUCAGAAGUGAAAGCCCGGGGCACAACUCCGGGACUGCUUUUGAAACUGUUGAACUA
rnacentral:rRNA from 1 species